UACGAAGGGGGCUAGCGUUGCUCGGAAUCACUGGGCGUAAAGCGCACGUAGGCGGCUUUUAAGUCAGGGGUGAAAUCCUGGAGCUCAACUCCAGAACUGCCUUUGAUACUGGCGAUCUCGAGUCCGGGAGAGGUGAGUGGAACUGCGAGUGUAGAGGUGAAAUUCGUAGAUAUUCGCAAGAACACCAGUGGCGAAGGCGGCUCACUGGCCCGGUACUGACGCUGAGGUGCGAAAGCGUGGGGAGCAAACAGG
rnacentral:rRNA from 1 species